UUUUCUAAAUAUACUAGGCCUACACAUCAUAUCGGCAAAAAUAUUUAGGAGCCCCUCUUUUUAUUCCAUGAAAAGGGGAAAACUUAAUUAAAUUCUAAUAUAAGAUCUCAACAGUUUAUAUUUCCCAUCCUGCAUCGCUCUGUAGGCGCUUUAUUUCAUUGGUCAAUUUCCCGAGGCGCCAUUUUUGGAGGAUCGAGAAGGACGAAGAAGAAGGUGUAAGCAGCUGGUAAAUGUGAAAAGUAAAGAUGGUUUCACCACCCAGUGUCUUUAAGACUGUGAUAAAUGCAAUGGCCAACUAUGAAGGAUUAGUAGAGAAGAAAACUGUGUGACUUUAAAAGAAAACCUGUGAGAUAAAAUUAUAGAAAAUGUAUGAUGAUUCAGGAUGUGGUCAUUUGUGACAUUAAAACAGGAAUUGUCAUCACCAAUAGACGAAUUUCACAUUCCUAAGAGUUUCCUCCAAUUGUCGGCGUAUCGCUCAUUUUCCCCACUUUGUCCUUUGUCCUGUUCUGUGGAUGCCCUUAGACAGUGUCUACCCAUCACUCCAUCUGAAAUCACUUGUUCUGUGCAUAUUUCUCUCUCAAACUUAAACUACAGAGAGCCUGUGGAUAGAGGAUGAAGAGUGACCUUGGACUAAUUUUCUAGGUCAAAGAUCAUAGGUGAUGUGAAGAAAACCAGGAAACUGAUGUUGAAAGAAGUACUUAAUGACCCUUAUGAAUGGACUUAAAUGUGAAAGACUGUUCCAUUGUUUAUCUAAGAUAUAUGAAUUUAUUUAAUAUUUUGAUAUCAUUGAAAAAUUCAGUUACAGUUUUUGUACAUCAAAUGAAUUAUUAAAAAUAUAAAAUGGUAA